CUCUCUUCUCUGGGAGCUGCCAUGUGAGCCCAACAAGAGAGGACACAUGCUGCCUGUGUCCUCCAUCAGAUAAGUCUUUAUAAAAUAUAUAGAUUAAUAAUUAUGGUUGAUACUGAAGACAGAGAUAGCAGAUAAGAAAUCCUGGUCAUUGGCCAGCAGCAUUGUAAUUAAUAUAAGACUCUGUUAUUUCGGGUGCCCAUGUAGGAGUGGGGCUCAGGCGGCUUGGCAGAAAGAUUUAUCAUUACAAAACAUUCUACAGUUUGACCUUGACGGAGCAAUGGCAGGCAAAAACCCUCUGACCUUAAGUCAAAAUGAAAUGGAGUCAAUUCUGAGGGUUCCCACAAUGAAAAAACAAAAGCCCUCAGUAUUGAUUUAUGGGAUACAAUUUUUUUGCAAGUAGGAAAACCCACAAAUAAGGUUUAAAGGAUGAAGACUUGACUGCAUGCCAAUAAUAAUACCUCCUGCACUAGCCAAAAAUAAAAUAGGGUCUGUAAGCCUUUCUUUGAGGGGGCAGGUAUGCUGUAUUUAGUUCAGUAUUUUGUCAGAGCAAUAAGAAAGUAACGACUACAGAUAGUUUUCCCAGCUGUACCCUUACCCGAAGCAGUGGCUAUAAAAUCUCUAGUAGCAUUAACCAAUACUCUCUAACAGCAUCUCAAACAAUAAAAGAUAUUUAUUCACAUGUCUGGUGGUUCAGCUGCUCCACAGAGCUGACAAAUAACUACCCUCCUAUUUUACUACUUCUUACUUAGCAUUGGGCUAAGCAUGAGUGCAAAUGGCUACUCCAGUUCUUGCACAUUCAAGGAAAGAAAGAGGAGGCAGUGAUCUUUAUACCUCUAUUAGCCAGCUUUCUGUAACUGUAACAAAUACUUGAGAUAAAUCAACUCAAAUAGAGCAAAAUUUUAUUUAGACUGAUAGUUUUGGCGGUAUUAGCACAUGAUCAAGUGAUGUCUUUGCUUUGGAGUCUGGGGUUUGACAGCAUAUUGUAGCAGGAAAGAGCAGACAGUAGUGCAAAGCUGCUUACUUCAGGUGGCUGAGAAGCAAAAAGAGAGGAAGGAGCUAUAUUUCCCCACUCUCCAAGGGGGUGGCUCCCAAUGACCUAAGACCUCCCACUGGGCCCCACCACUUAAAAGUGAAGGGACCAGACCCUGCCCCAGCCCCCUGCUUUGGCAGCCAUGACAGGCUGCAGAAAAGACCCAGUUAAGAUGUAGGCCCCUGACUCAGCAACAUGUGCUGAGCUCCUGACCUUGCCCUCUGUGUGGUGAUGAACUAAUCAGAAGUUAGCUGGCAGGCUUUGGAUGUGCUUUACACAGUGGAAUGUAGAGUGUAGCAACUGCCCUGGGAGGGCCUAUAGGCCAUAGCAACCUGGCUGUAGCUGUGGUUGACCAAUCAACACAGGACAGGUCACCCAAACCUGGAAGUGCACCAAUCCUGAGACUGUUGUGGGCCCCAGACACUCCCCUUGAUCUACCUCAAUAUAUUUCCUGCCCCAUGGUCCUCUAAGCCCUUCUUGUUCUACCCACUGUGUUGGAUGGAUGGAAGAUGCAAGUUAAUACAGUUAACUUAUUAAUUAAAGACUCUUUGCUUUUGCAUCAGAUCCAGUCUCUUGGUAAUUUUGGGGUUCAGAGUUUGGGUACAACAAAAGUUUUUACUGCUUUAUAUUAUUGCCAAAUUUGGGGGGGGGACAGUCCUUUAUCUCAUAGGUCUUUUGGGGACAGGGAAAGUCCAAAUUUUAGCAAAUAUAUUGAUGAGAAUUAUAUUAUAUGGCCAUCUAGCUGCAAGAGAAGCCAGGAACACACACAGAUUUCCACCUUCCAUGUUAGAAAUAAAGAGAAAAGACCAAUAAGGAAUAUUUGUCUCAAAGCUGAACAUUGAAACCAUCUACUUUUCACAGCCAGCAUGGAUACAGAUCCCAAAUCACAUCUUACUGUGUGUCUCAGUUUGUCUUUAUAUUAUUUCUUUGUAUUCAUUAGCAUGACCUUAUUUUUGCAAAUGGAGACAAUCAGCAGAAGUUCUGGGAAGUAAUAAAGAAUCAUAAGGGUGGAGGAGACACAAAAAAACCUGCCUCAGACUCAAAGCUAAAGCUCUAAGAAACCUUUCCCACCAGCCAGUUCCCAAAUAACCAUACAGAGGCUUUUAUUAAUUAUAAAUACUUAGGGGAUAGCUUAGGCUUGUUCCUAACUUGCUUGUAUAACUUAAAUUAACCCUUUUCUAUUAAUCUAUAUGCUGCUUACUUCAUCUAUGAACUUCCCAUGUUGCUUCUUCCUUGUCUGGCUUGAGACUCUCGUGGCUCCCUGACUCAGCCCUUUCUUUGUCCUAGAAUUUUUGUCUGGUUCUCCCACCUAACCUUACCCUUCCUAGCUAUAGGCCAGUCAUCUUUAUUAAACCACUUUAAAAUAAGGUAGGAUUUAAACCACUUUCCAUAUGGUUCUCUCAGUUCUGCAUUUUCAAGGCCUUUAUUUUCCAUUUAGAGCAGUUUUUGGACUUUAAUUCUCCUUUGAUAAACAAUCAAAUCUCUUAUCUCCCUAAAGGGACAUUACCAGGUUCAAAGUAAUGUAAGCAUCAUGGCUAGACAGAAAACAAUGGUAGUUUUCUAAGAACAGCUACACUUGGGCCUUUAGAGAGCACAUUUUUCACUUCCUUGCUGUUUUCCUUGCUUCAUUUUCAAAGCCUGCUACCUUGGCUCACACAGAGAUGGGGACUCUUCCAGUAGCAAAUGUCCAGCGCUGGAAAUGGUGGUAUAAUGGCACCCAACUGUGUGUGCGCUCUGUCCCUGUUAUGUUUUCCCCAAGUAUCUCCUACAACUACCACGCAGCUUGGGCCAAGCAAGUCUUUCUUGAGGCCUUGUUCUGGCAACGGCUGAGUAUGUGGAAAAAAGGGUUUUCCCCUGGAGUUUCACCACAGAAAUUUGGGUUGAUUUCUGACACAAGGAAAAGUUAUAACUGGUUUCACCUUGGAGUCUAGCUGGAUGAAGUUGGAAUUUCCUUUUCUUGGUCACAAAAGUCCCAAUUUCUUUAGAGUGCUGUCAAGAUGUGGAAAUGAAAAGAAAUUUUAAUGUCGACUUGAAGAUCCAGAACCAGAUCUGUGUUAUAAAUACUGAUGGGAGUUCGAAGCCAGCAUGGUCUACAGAGUGAGUGUCAGGACACGCUCCAAAGCUACACAGGGAAACCCUGUCUCAAAACAAAACAAAACAUAAUAAAAUAAACAAGAACAACACAAAUUUAAAAUAAGGUAGGAUAGAAAGAUGAAAAAUUAAGGGAGCAUGGGAAGGACAGGAGCUACUCAUCCUGGAGUCUGGUUGAAGGCUCUCCCUAGAUGAGAGUCAAGGAUUCCAGCUCAAUAGCGUUAUUUGCAGCAGAAGUUGCCUACAUGAAACAAACACAGAAAUGUUUCAAAAAGAACAUUGAGGGUUGGUGAGAAGGGCCAGCCGGGAAAGCUCUUGCUGUGCAAACCUGAUGACCUGUCUUCAUUACUUUUCUGUUGCUGUGACAAAUCUUCAUGACCAAGUCAAUUUAUAGAAGAGAGCAUUUAAUCUGAGGUUCAUGCUUCCAAAAGGUUAGAGAACGUGUUGCCACAGCAAGGCUAUAAUGUGUGCUGGGAAGGACUCCUUACAUUCAUGGCAUCAAGGAUCUUAUACCAGAGGCCUAAUUCAGCCUUCUGCAGCUUGUCUCCAUUCUUACCACCUUUCUGCUUCCUGCCAUAUGGAGAUGAAAACCCUCACCAGAUCCCAACACCUUGAUCUUUGACUUCCUGCUUUCCAGAACUGUGAGAAAAUGAUAGUCUGCAUUGCCCAGCCUUCUUAGUCUCAGCCCCGGUUCCUGUCCAGCCCCCAAGAGCAAAUGUGCAGCCGAUAGCAACAUUGGAAGCUCUGUCUUGCUAAGAACAUUAUAGAAUGGAAUGUUAGCCACUGUGGGAUGUGUUUGGAAUCAAUGAUGCUCCACCGAGGAACACUGCUCUGCUGCCCAGGUGUGAUUCCCUUUUUGUCCCACCUUGCCAGCUCACCCAGAAGGCUUCACCCAGAGCACAGACUGGUCAGUGUAGGGCAGAGGUAUCUAUAGUGGUGGGGUUGGGGGGCAGGGAGGACACCUGAUUUUUCAAACUGUAGCAUAAAUAGAUGUAAGGCUCAUUUUAACAUGCCCAGUUAAUCUGGAAUGAGUGUUUGCAGACAAAACACAGGACCCCUACUUGCUCUUGCACUUCAGAUAAACAAUACUUCAUUCAAACAAGAUAAAUAGCCUAGACCACAGCUGCUAGAAGACUCACAGGCUGCUGGUGUGGUCAGGAUUGCUGCCACAGCUAAAAGACCUCCUCUGGAGCAGGAGCCUCCUGUGUUCCCUAGGAGCUCUGGGUUAGUCCAGCUUAGUCAGAGGAAGAGAGAGAAGUCCUUCCAGGCUAUUAUCUGUCUGAAUGUGCCAGUGGCCAGCAAAUCUGAACCAGACUGAGGUGUGUUACUGCUUUGGUUCUGAGUUCUCCUCUCAAAUUACCAUCCAAGGCACGGGAGCCAUCUUCCCCAGCAGCAGCAUCCAUGCCCAGCCCUCAGUCAGUGGAACUCGGUGUGCUUCUGAAUACCCCCUGGCAGGCCUUCCCUGUAUUUGCAGAGUCUGUGACAAGAGCAAACAAAACCUGCUGCAAAUUGGAAAAUGCUCUUCCACAAAAACAAACUAGAAAGAAAUGUGGAAAUUCUGACUUGUACAAGACUGGAAGUUGGCAGACUAUUAAAGAUGAUGAAAUUUAAUUAUCACUGCACAUGUCUGGGUGUUCUGUUGAGAAGUCAGAGAUGUCUGGAUGGGCAAAAACAUAAAUUAUACAAUGUUGUGUGCAUAGCCCAUAAAAUCUGUUUUUCUUGUAUUCCUUUCAACAAAAUUGUGUUGGUACGCUAAACAUAUUUACAUAAUUUGUGUUCUAUUGGCAGUAACUACCUAGAAAGUAUAAGUUGGCCAAUCUUUUCUGUAUGUUACUAGCUAUAGAAAUCAAUGUUUUUGAGACCCAUUUGUGA
ensembl:lncRNA